UACGGAGGGUGCAAGCAUUAAUCGGAUUUAUUGGGCGUAAAGGGCGCGUAGGCGGGAAGGAAAGUUAGUUGUGAAAGCCCGGGGCUCAACCUCGGAGACGCACCUAAAACUUCUUUUCUAGAGGAUGGACGGAGAAAAUGGAAUUCCACGUGUAGCGGUGAAAUGCGUAGAUAUGUGGAAGAACACCAGUGGCGAAGGCGAUUUUCUAGUUUAUACCUGACGCUAAAGCGCGAAAGCAAGGGGGAGCAAACAGG
rnacentral:rRNA from 1 species